AAAAUGAAGUAGUGUUUGCCAUCAAGAAGUUUAUAUUCUACUAGGAUGUAUAGAUAAAAAUAUAUUAAAUCAUACCAAAGCAGUUUCAAGGAGAAUGAACUAACAAGCAAGGGGACUGAGAAAGACUUGGAAGCUUGGAAAGACCUCACAUCUUUUCUAGUCUUCCCUGAGGAAUCAAGGGAUUUUAACUGGCAGAAGUGUCAAGGAAGUGCAUUCCACAUGAGGAACCACCUAUACCGAAGCACUCUUUAGGGGAAGAGUUGAAAUGCUACAUCUUCCUCAUGAGUUUGUGAGGCAAUUCACCUAGGAUAGACAGGGAACAAAAGGGUAUUAUUGCAAUAAGACUUGAAAAGGUAGAUGAGAACUACAUUGUUAAGGUCUUUAAACAGCAAAGUGAAAGCUUAUAUGAGGACAGCAGAAAUGUUUUUGAGCAGAGUGUGACAUGGAUACAUCUGGGUUUUGAUGAUAUCAGUUUCAGGACGGGUAAAAGAGGGAAGAGACUGGAAGCUGGGAGAGAAAUUGUGAAAUCUCCUGAAGAGAAAACAAGAUGAUUUGGACCCAGUAUAAAGACUCAUCCAAGUCUAUCAUUAUACAAUUCUGUGACCUUAUUCUGGAUCUCAUCAACAGAUUCUUUGUCCCACAACCACAGCACAGAGACUACCAGGCCCAAUUAGAAUCUGGCUGCUAAUCAAGAGUAAACAUCAGCAUGAAUAUAUCAUAUGGC
rnacentral:lncRNA from 1 species